rnacentral:rRNA from 1 species
UAUGGUGGUUUUGCCGGGGGUGUUCACCUCUUCCCAUUCCGAACAGAGAAGUUAAGUCCCCCAUGGCCGAUGGUACUCGCAUCUAGCUGGGAUAGCUGCCAUAU